AAUUUUCAGCCGCCAGCAACCUUUCUUCCUCCCACGCAUAGCAGCCAGCGCGCAGGGAGCUUCCCUGUCCAUGGCGUCUCCUCCCCUUCCUCGAGCAAGCUCCAGCGUGCGCGGGGGGGGGGGGGGGGGGCAGCAACCUCGACGGUCGGCCUCUCUCCCCUGCUGUCGCUCGCCCUACAGGGAUGGAGAGCAGCCGUGCGCUCCCUGCAGGCAAGCAGAACCUCCAGCCGAGCGCGCUCCCUGUCCUUCUCCUGGGCGUGUCCCCUGCUCCACGGCCAGCAGCAAGCCAGCGCCCCUGCAGCAAGGCACCCUCUUCUUCUCCCUGGCCGCCCUGCUCUCUGAUCCAUGGCGCCCAGAAAAUUCCAGCCGGCUCCCCCUUCUUCUUCCUCCAGCCAGCAGCUCGUCCACCUCUCUCUCCCAUGGCAUUUCCCCCUGCGAGUAGCGCUUUCUCCGUUGUCUUCAACCUCCGGUCGCUCCCAUCUCCCUGCAGCACCCUGUCCAUUUUUUUUCACCCAGCCGAUUCCCUCUACUGUCCAAGGCGCGGGCGCUAUUUUCCCAUGGCCGAGCAGCCCCUCGCAGCGAGCUUCUCCUUUUCCCCAGCGCUGCACAGCUCCUCCACGGUGAAACGCCGCUGUUCCUGCAGCCCCAACACCUCCCCUUGCUUCCUCGCUGCCAGCGCUGCGCGCGUGCCACGUGCUCGGCAAACUGUCCAAGUGGGGUGUUGCGCAGCGAACAGCACGUCGGGAUGCUCGUCGGGUGUUUGCUGUUUUUGCGCAGUGAACAGCACGCCAUCGACGCUCAUCGAGUGUUUGCUGUUUUUUUUUGCGCAGCCCCAACAUCAUCGUCGUUCACCCCGGAGAUAACCCCGUGUUUUGCGUGGAGAAGGCAAGCCGCUCGACGCUCGUCGAUGUCGUAGCGAUGCACAAAUCGGAAUCACCGUCGUUCUUGCAAACGCUGAUUGGGUUUGUUUAUGGACCGAGAGAUGGUGAUCGUGCACGUGAUAUGGUGCCAACCACAGGAUGCCGUUGGUGGACGACCCAAGGAAGGAUGGACGUAACCAGUGGAUGCUCGCCAAGCGAGUACCUCCCCAGCAAACACUGUCUAAGUGUUAAAUUAAAGGCAAGCCCCGGUUUUAUGCAUAACCGUUAUAUAUGCUAUUUUACUGCACUUAAUGUUUGUAGGCUUGUACUGUGCACUUAAGUGUAGGAGUUAACUGAAACCCUAGUUGCAUGAACUCAGGAUUCCUAUUGAGAUGAAUACUAGUAUGCUAGGUCGAGUAGCUGCUUAUUUAAUUAGGAUCUCGGUAGAAGUCGAGUGAUUUUUCUAGCACUCGCGCGAGGUCAGGACAUUGAUUGUACCCACUUUCAUAUCGUACUAAUGUUGGUUUGUGGGCAACAAUCCAUGGGGAUUGGUUGUUCACGGGAUGAAAAUUUGAAUAAGGAUUAAGGUGUGGUACCGUGAGUCAAGCGUUUGAACGUACUAAGCACAUGCCGAGAAAUAUGGUAAAUCGGUAAGCCUAGUACCUGAUUGAACCUGGCAGUGGACUUUACCCCUCACGCGACCUGAGACGAGGUCUCCCAUUCCGGUUAUGGUGGGUACAAGUGCGGUCACUGCACGACGGCCAGUCGGGGUCAGUGAGGCAUUGUACGCCAAGGCGGUGAGCCCUGAUCUGCUGACGGGGAAUCGAUGGGGACAGUUGAUAUGUGUAGGGACGGAGUGCCCCUACAUGUCGUGUGUUUAGGUUUACCUUGCAAGGAUAAAAACUCGAUUCGAAUCGUCUGCUUCUCGCAGCUAAUGAGACUGCUUGAUCCAUGCUGCUACAUUGAGUAAUAAGUGGAAAUGAGGUGACUGGCAAAAGAUGUUGUUUGAUAAAAUGUUUGAUACCAUGUAUGAAUAGCUAGGUACACAUCUAGUUUAAAAAGGAUUAUACUAAAACUUGAAAAGCUAAAACUUGAUUUUAGACUCAGCUAGUGCUUUUGGCAACCAAACCCCACAGCCAAACAGCUGCAUGUCUAGAGGUAGAGGAGUAGACUCCUCACACCGGGUAAGUCUAGCUGAGUAUUAGUAUACUCAGCCUUGCUUGUGGCAUAAUUUUUGCAGGUACCCUUAGGAUGAUUGGUUGAUGGUGUGACUUAGCCUCCAUCCCUGCCACCGGGAUAGAUGGUCGAGUGGGUUACCGCUUCCGCAGGAGAGGACCAGGAGGAGUAGCGUGGCCAGGCUUCGCCAUGUUACUCGGGUUUUCUCCGUUAGUUAUUUCCGCUGCAUUAAAAUUUAUGGUUAUUAUUUCUGAAACUCCGAUAAUGUAAUCACUAAUGGUACUUCUUAAAUUUGUGGUAUUAU